AAGUCGUAACAAGGUUUCCGUAGGUGAACCUGCGGAAGGAUCAUUAAAGUAUUUCAGUGACGGGGGUUACUGCUUGAUUUGCUCGCAUUUCAGCAGUGGUCCUGUCUGAUACUACCCAUGUUUUUUGCGUACCUCUUGUUUCCUCAGUAGGCUAGCCUACUAAAGGACCACAUCAAACUCUUUGUAAUAGCAAUCAGCGUCAGAAAAACAUAAUAAUUACAACUUUCAACAACGGAUCUCUUGGUUCUGGCAUCGAUGAAGAACGCAGCGAAAUGCGAUAAGUAGUGUGAAUUGCAGAAUUCAGUGAAUCAUCGAAUCUUUGAACGCACAUUGCGCCCCUUGGUAUUCCAUGGGGCAUGCCUGUUCGAGCGUCAUUUGUACCCUCAAGCUCUGCUUGGUGUUGGGUGUUUGUCCCGUUUUUGCACGUGGACUCGCCUGAAAACAAUUGGCAGCCGGCAAUCUGGUGUAGAACGCAGCACAUUUUGCGCUUCUUACUAUGGAUGUUGGCGUCCACUAAGUUUUAUCAUUUGCUCUUGACCUCGGAUCAGGUAGGGAUACCCGCUGAACUUAA
rnacentral:rRNA from 1 species